rnacentral:rRNA from 1 species
GAUGAACGCUGGCGGCGUGCCUAAUACAUGCAAGUCGAGCGAACGGACGAGAAGCUUGCUUCUCUGAUGUUAGCGGCGGACGGGUGAGUAACACGUGGAUAACCUACCUAUCAGACUGGGAUAACUUCGGGAAACCGUAGCUAAUACCGGAUAAUAUUUUGAACCGCAUGGUUCAAAAGUGAAAGACGGUCUUGCUGUCACUUAUAGAUGGAUCCGCGCUGCAUUAGCUAGUUGGUAAGGUAACGGCUUACCAAGGCAACGAUGCAUAGCCGACCUGAGAGGGUGAUCGGCCAGACUGGAACUGAGACACGGUCCAGACUCCUACGGGAGGCAGCAGUAGGGAAUCUUCCGCAAUGGGCGAAAGCCUGGCGGAGCAACGCCGCGUGAGUGAUGAAGGUCUUCGGAUCGUAAAACUAUGUUAUUAGGGAAGAACAUAUGUGUAAGUAACUGUGCACAUCUUGACGGUACCUAAUCAGAAAGCCACGGCUAACUACGUG